CCAGAGGUCCAACGUCUCCCGUCUCUCCCUUCUCGCCUGAUGGUCCUGGCAACCCCUGCAGUCCAAUUGGUCCUGGGGCACCUGGGAAUCCUCUGGAUCCUUCGUCACCUUUAGCCCCGAAAGGCCCCUGCUGGCCCCUGGGCCCGAGCUCUCCAUCAGCACCCUGCACCACAGAGGGAGAGGAACAGAUAAUCAGAACAAGAACAACCGUCUGGAACUAAAAACUGUGUGAUUCUCUUCUAAGAGAGUUGAAGUUUGAACUUACAGCGGCACCAGGCUGACCGACGGGACCCAUCGGACCAGGUGGACCAGGAGGACCCUACAGAAACAGAAACAGCAUC